AAGUCCCAGAUUCCAAAUCUACCCAGAUGUUAAAUACCCAGCCUUCCAAGCUCUAAGAAACAUAUUUCAGUUAUUUAUAAACUACCCAGUUUAAAGCACUUUGUUAUGGAUGCCUGAACAGAAAGAUCUCAAGAACAUAUGUGUCUAUUUGAUCAGCUAUGUGAUCUUGUAGGUAAAUGGUUGAUGAUGCCAUCUCUGUUUGCAUUUUUAUGAGUUGAUGGUGACAAAGUGCCCUGAGAUUGCUGAAUGAAGCUUUUAUGGACUAGCAGAAUGCCAUUCAUAGUAAAGACAACACUCAGGGUAGAAUAAAAAAGGAAGCCAAAGAAAGAAGCUAGCAAUGGGUGGACUGGGAGGUUCAGGUCCUCCGGUCUCUACCUUCACAUGCUGGUAUUUUUUUAACAUGAGAAAUAUAAGAGUUGGUCUUCCCCUGGCAAUAAACUCAACUAACAUGGACCUGUUGGGAGUCCCAGUGUCAGAACCACCAACCAAAGAGCAAGCAUGAACUGGACCUGCCCCUCUGUCUCACACAUAUGGAGCAGAUGUGUAGCUAGGUCUUCAGGUGAGUCCCCAGCAACUGGAAACAGGUUGUUUCUGAAUGUCUUGCCUGCCUGUGGAUCCUGUUCCCCUAACAGGGCCACUUAGGGGAAUUUUCUGGCCUCAGUGAGGGAAGAUGCACCCAGUUAGGCAGUGACAGAUGUGAGAUGGUGUGUGAUACCCAAGAGGUUCCCCUUCUCAGGGGAGAAGUGGGCGUGGGGGAGAAGCUGUGAGAGGGGGAAACUGAGAGAAGAAGAGGGUUAAUACUGUGAUGCAAAGUGAGUAAAUAAAUUAAUUCAUU
rnacentral:lncRNA from 1 species